rnacentral:tRNA from 1 species
GGAGGGGUGCCGGAGAGGCCAAACGGGCUCGACUCGAAAUCGAUGCGGGGUUACACCCACGGGGGUUCGAAUCCCUCCCCCUCCG